CAGAAAAACUCCAGUAACACAGAAGAAGCAGCUUCCUUCACAGAGUCUACAGGAAAACAUGAUUCUACAGACUCUGUUGAGAGACCGUCCCGUAAAAGAAUCAGGAAGAUUAGUAGUAGUUUCCAGUCUCCAGAGGUACCAUUAGAGAGUGAAAGUCAAGUAGAACAAGAAGAUUCUCAGCUUUCUGCACCUCAGCAAAAAAAAUCAGACGAUCAGACAAGAAGACAAUCUAGGAGGCUAUCAAAACAGAUAACGCUACCAAAACAUGGAUUGGAGCUAAGAACUGGUUCAUCUUCUGCCCCUGAAUGUGAGGCCGAUUGCUGUGAGAAGGGGAAUCAAAGACAAGAAGUGAAAUCAAGUGUUAUUAGAGGCAAAAGCAUGAAAACUGCCCACAGAAAGAAACCCGUGAAGGAGCAGAGAAGUUCAAAAACAAGCAGCCUGGUGACCCUCCGGGCUUCUCAAGAAGAU
rnacentral:lncRNA from 1 species